GGCCUCCUUGUGCUUACCACAGGCUGUGUUUUCACACUGACUCUACAGAAAGAGGAGGCAGAGCAAACCUGCCCCAUAUACACCCCAGCCCAGGCCACUGAGCUCAUCUGUAUUGUAAAUGGGGAGACAUGG
ensembl:snoRNA